UACGUAGGAUCCAAGCGUUGUCCGGAUUUACUGGGUGUAAAGGGUGCGUAGGCGGGUCUUUAAGUCAGGGGUGAAAUCCUGGAGCUCAACUCCAGAACUGCCUUUGAUACUGAGGAUCUUGAGUUCGGGAGAGGUGAGUGGAACUGCGAGUGUAGAGGUGAAAUUCGUAGAUAUUCGCAAGAACACCAGUGGCGAAGGCGGCUCACUGGCCCGAUACUGACGCUGAGGCACGAAAGCGUGGGGAGCAAACAGGG
rnacentral:rRNA from 1 species